rnacentral:tRNA from 1 species
GCCUGGGUGGCUCAUUGAGUUGAGCAUCUGACUUUGGCUCAGGUCAUGAUCUUGCGGUUUGUGGGUUCGAGCCCCGCGUCCGGCU